ACGCUCGACACCUACGUGAGGCAGCAGUGGGGAAUAUUGCACAAUGGGGGAAACCCUGAUGCAGCGACGCCGCGUGAAGGAAGAAGUAUCUCGGUAUGUAAACUUCUAUCAGCAGGGAAGAAAGUGACGGUACCUGACUAAGAAGCCCCGGCUAACUACGUGCCAGCAGCCGCGGUAAUCUGAGCGGGCUGGCAAGGC
rnacentral:rRNA from 1 species